CGGAGAGUUUGAUCCUGGCUCAGGAUGAACGCUGGCGGCGUGCCUAAUACAUGCAAGUCGAACGCUUUGUGGUUCAACUGAUUUGAAGAGCUUGCUCAGAUAUGAUGAUGAACAUUGCAAAGAGUGGCGAACGGGUGAGUAACACGUGGGAAACCUACCUCUUAGCAGGGGAUAACAUUUGGAAACAGAUGCUAAUACCGUAUAACAAUAGCAACCGCAUGGUUGCUACUUAAAAGAUGGUUCUGCUAUCACUAAGAGAUGGUCCUGCGGUGCAUUAGUUAGUUGGUGAGGUAAUGGCUCACCAAGACGAUGAUGCAUAGCCGAGUUGAGAGACUGAUCGGCCACAAUGGGACUGAGACACGGCCCAUACUCCCACGGGAGGCAGCAGUAGGGAAUCUUCCACAAUGGGCGAAAGCCUGAUGGAGCAACGCCGCGUGUGUGAUGAAGGGUUUCGGCUCGUAAAACACUGUUGUAAGAGAAGAAUGACAUUGAGAGUAACUGUUCAAUGUGUGACGGUAUCUUACCAGAAAGGAACGGCUAAAUACGUGCCAGCAGCCGCGGUAAUACGUAUGUUCCAAGCGUUAUCCGGAUUUAUUGGGCGUAAAGCGAGCGCAGACGGUUAUUUAAGUCUGAAGUGAAAGCCCUCAGCUCAACUGAGGAAUUGCUUUGGAAACUGGAUGACUUGAGUGCAGUAGAGGAAAGUGGAACUCCAUGUGUAGCGGUGAAAUGCGUAGAUAUAUGGAAGAACACCAGUGGCGAAGGCGGCUUUCUGGACUGUAACUGACGUUGAGGCUCGAAAGUAUGGGUAGCAAACAGGAUUAGAUACCCUGGUAGUCCAUACCGUAAACGAUGAAUGC
rnacentral:rRNA from 1 species